CGUGGAAUUUUUUUUUUAUACGUACAUGAUUGUACAUAAUCGAGAAUGCUCGAAGAAAGGAACGAAGAAAAAACGAUAGAUAUAUGUAAGUCAAUAUAUGGAUAUAUGUAUAUAGAGAAGUAAUACGUUAAAACGUGCGUAAACGCGACGGGAAUUAAAAAAUGACCAUGAGAAAAACCGUUACAUAUUUUCGGACAGUACUAACCUAUAUAAAUUUCAAGGCUCGCACACUGACCUGUAUUAUUUCUUAGAAAAUACCUAUGUAUUCGAUGAGAAAACGGACGACGAAAAAAAGGAGAAGAAAGAAAAGAAAGAAAGGGAAAAAAAACUCACUCGGAUAUUUUUGCAAAGGAUAGUGCACGCAUGAAAAUAAACGUUAAGCUCGGCGCUACGCACUUACACAUUCGUAAUAAUCGUAUCUCACGUAUGCACGUACACACACACACAUCACACAAAGUACACCAUACACACAUUACACACAUUACACAACGUACACCAUACACACAUUACACACAUACAACGUACACACAUUACACACACACAACGUACACCAUGCACACAUACAUCACACGUACACCACACACAUAAACACGCAUACCACGCACAUAUACACACACGUAUAUUACCACACGCAUAAAUUCGCAUAAGACAAAAAAAAGAAAGAGCUUUUAAUCGUAUUAUAUAUACAAAUUCGUAGGUUAUAUCUUUUCACCUCUCGUUAUUAUUCAAGGUAUAUGUAAGAAAACAAAUUUGUUUAGCUUUAGUACUCGUCGUACCUUCGAACGAGAAACAUCCUCUUAACUCCGAAUGACGGAGAACGACGUACUAACCUAAUUCUAAUUCGAUAUAGUUAUUCUAUCUCGUGAAAUUUUUGGAAAUUUUUUAUGAAGUGUGAAAUCUCAUAAUCAUACAAGAUACGAUUAAAAGUACGUGUGUAUAAGUGUAAAAAAUAUUAAUAGUAUAUGUGUGUGUGUGCGCGCGUAUGUAUAUACAUGAAAAUCGAAUACAAUACGAAAUAUCGAUCGAUCGCGAUUACAAAGGCAAAAAUUAUUGAUCGGUGCGUCGUUAAAUAGCGAGGAUAAUAUUGAUUUUCUUUUAUACUUAAGUUUUAAAUUGGAGGGGGAUAGUUACGCGUGACGUCAACAAAAUUAAACCUCUCAUUGACUUUGGCAGUUGUCGUAUCAGUCUUCUUUCGUACCUCGACGAGUCAACAUCGAAAUUCUGACAGGUUAUCUUUCCUACUAGUAAAAAUUCAAAAACUUUUGCAAUCGCGCGCGUAACGAUGAAAUAACCGAGUGUUUGUAGUCGCUAAAAUAAAAAAAACCAAAAAAGAAAAAAACAAAAAAAUUCGCGAAAUAGAAGCAGUGUUGGUUCGUUCGCGUUUCGCGAUUAAAACAAGUGUUUUUGCAUCGACUGCGUGCAAUGCAGUCGUUAGAGUCAGUGUUUGUUCGCGAAAUGUUUAAUUUUUUUUUCUUUUUCUUUUUUCUUUUUUUUUUUGACAGUCGUAGAGACUGAUUUUGAAAAGAUAGUAGAGUUUCGCAAAGUAAAUUCAGUGUGACCGUUCGUUAAUAAAUUAGCGCGAAUUAGAGUCAGUGCAUCACGGAAGAGAAUCUCAACCAACUUCGAUGUCGACCUAUCUCAUUUUCAACCAACUACGAAUCAUCCAUUUCGACCUAAAUCGACCUAAAUCGCAAUCGAGUGUUUUGGUGUCAUCGCGAAACUUCUUAAGUAUUACAGUCUUCGUCGUCGUCGUCGUCGUCAUCGUCGUCGUUGUCAUCGUGUCGUUGAAAAGUUAUUAGCAAAAAGAGAUAAUAUUACGUACGAUUAAACGAAACAAUUAUACGUGCAAACACGUGUAAUAACGUCGGGAGAACGCGUGUACGAUUAAAAUAAAAUAAAAUAUAUAUACAUAUACGUAUAUAUUUUAAUACGUGAUACGUUAUUAAGGAUAAUAAUAAAAUAAUCGUAACGUACGAUGAAGCAUUUGAAAUUCUACGAGAAAUCCUAUUGGUCGAGAAUUUUUUUUCAGUUGGGACGCGUGUGUGCGUGCGUCUGAGUGAAUGCAAAUGUGCGAAAACGAUUAUUUUUGAUAGAGAAAACAUUAAAUGUCAACUUUCUCGAAGUGUGCAACAACUGGUUUUUGAAAU